UACGUAGGGACCGAGCGUUGUCCGGAAUUAUUGGGCGUAAAGAGCUCGUAGGCGGUUCGUCGCGUCGGCUGUGAAAACCCGGAGCUCAACUCCGGGCCUGCAGUCGAUACGGGCGGACUGGAGUGUUGCAGGGGAGACUGGAAUUCCUGGUGUAGCGGUGAAAUGCGCAGAUAUCAGGAGGAACACCGAUGGCGAAGGCAGGUCUCUGGGCAUUAACUGACGCUGAGGAGCGAAAGCAUGGGGAGCGAACAGG
rnacentral:rRNA from 1 species